GGACCCCGGAGGGUCCGAACUGUCUCAGCGGAGAAAGGGGACAUAGUGUGCUGGCGAGCGCUGGCUGUUGGCGUUAGAGCUCCGGCUGUGGCUCAGUCUGGGGCGCGGUUCUUGCCAACACACCAUGUCCAGAGACAGGUGACCAAAAAUUCAAAUUUCAAACCAGCUCUGGAUGGGAUAACAACACAGGGUCAUACUUACUUUACGGCAGGCACGUUAUUCGCCUUCUUACCCGCACUUACCGCUAUGGAUUCGCUCUUCAGGGGGCACUGAGACAUCCUACAGUGCCCUGGACGGCCCACCCCAACCAUGGUAUCCGUUGUCCAACAGUUUUGGAUACCCCAGAAUCGUCUCCCCGUUCCCCCUCUACAGCAUGGUGCACUACCCCUUCCUUACCUUAAUGAUCUACUCUUCCAUAGCGAAAUGAGAAUACUAAGCCAAGUGGAAUUUCAUUUCUACGUUAUAAAAGAAAAGUGCCUUUGUUGCGUCUGUCAGAUCGCCGGACUGGAAUGCUUCGACGACGGCUCCCCUGGAUAGCAAGACAAUUUGGUAGCGGAGGUGCCCUGGAUCUCCCUUUUUAUGUUCUUGCCAACCUGCAGGGACAACAUUAAACGACCAAAGGGUCUUUUAUUUAAAGUGUAUUCCUAGUGCCCUAGAAUGAGCUCACCCUACUUCCUAGGUUGUAUCGUCCGUUCAAUCACCGGACUGCAGAUAUGAAACCCAAUGUCUACCCUGUUUGCUGCCUAAGUUAUUCUGUUUUCUUUUUUUUUUUAUUUCUUAUAUUUUUAUUCCAGGAUGUGUGUCAAGCUAAGUUUCUCUGUGUAUCGUUCUAAGUAUUGAACAUAUAAAAAGGAGCAUACAUCGGCCUACCUUGGCACCUACGGGCUGCUGGUGCAAAAUUCCCUCGGGGACACUGGAGCAGAUGGCGGCGGUGGAACCAAUGAUGAAGCUGGAGAUGCUGAUGAGAUGAUGAUGUUGUUGAGGAUGGAAAUGUUGACGUUGCCGUGGAUGACGAUGGUUAAAAUUGCAGUAGAGGUGGGUAUUUAUUAUUUGACAAAAAGUUUUUGUUGUUCUGUUUAGUCUUUGCUAUGUUUUAUUCGUGGCUCAAAUUAACGUUCUUUUUCAAAGCUUUUUAUAUUUCACAGGAUCUUUUUUCCUUAGCAUUAAUUAGCACUAAUAAGUUUAUUUAGCUUUAAGUUGAUCUAAAGUAACUUCAGCUUUUUUACUACAAAAGCUAGUCUUUAUUCCUUUCACAAAAAAAAGGAACAUUUAUUUGCUUUUAAAUAAAAAACUUUAUGCCUUUGGCAUCACAUA